GCGGGUAUAGCUCAUGGCAGAGUACAUGCUUAGCAUGCAUAAGAAUCUGGGUUCAAACCCCAGUAUCCCA
rnacentral:tRNA from 1 species